UGCCGGCUUUCCAUCAGCCGGCGCGAAUACCGAAGAGGCUUGUCCUUCAUUGCCAGUGAGCGGGCGGGAUCCUUCCCAACCAAUCCAAGGCAGCACUGCUCGUCCGAGCUGAUCGCUCGUCGCGCCUCCAUCGCGCGACGGCGCUGAAGCCGUCGG
rfam:Rhodopseudomonas palustris TIE-1, complete genome.